rnacentral:rRNA from 1 species
UUAAUUAAAUAAUUUCACUAUUAGAGUACACGAAUUUGGAGGAGCUAAUUAUUAUAUAUUUAUAGAUAACAGGUGUUGCAUAACUUUAUCAAUAAUAAUUAGGGGUGAUAGACUUAUCAACUCCAAUGAUAACUUGAUAAUUAUUAAAUGUAAUAGUACAGAAACCCUUUUAAAAUGACAAGGUUUUAAAAGCUGAAUAAUGUGUUAUAUUUUUAAAAUAUUUUGUUUAAUCACUAAUAUGUUAAUAAUAAAUAAUAAAUAAAACGUGUUUGUUUUAGUUAAUAAUUAAUAUAUAAAUAAUAUAUAUAUAUAAAUAAUGUUAAUAUUAGUAAUAUAAGUAUAAAACAUGAACUCGGCAAUAAGUCCUUUAACUGUUUAUCAAAAACAUAGCUACAUGAAUAAAUAUGUGGUAAUUUCUGCUCAAUGAAGUUUAAAUAGCCGCAGUACUUUGACUGUGCUAAGGUAGCGCAAUCAAUUGGCUUUUAAUUGGAGUCCUGUAUGAAAGAAAGCAUAGGGGGCUACUUUAUUUUUUAUAAUCAUGAACUUACUUAAAAAGUGCAAAUACUUUUAUUAAAAUAAUAGACGAGAAGACCCUAGAAAUUUUGUAGUUAACCCUUUUUGUUGGGGCAACAAAGUAGCAUUAUAAUCUACUAUUAUUACAUGAAAGAUAUAUUUUGAAAGAGUAAAUUACUCUAGGGAUAACAGCAUAAUUUACUAAAGUUUGUGACCUCGAUGUUGGAUUAGGGUAUUAACGUUUAAAAG